GAUGAACGCUGACAGAAUGCUUAACACAUGCAAGUCUACUUGAAUUUGGGUUUUUUAACUUAGAUUUGGGUGGCGGACGGGUGAGUAACGCGUAAAGAACUUGCCUCACAGCUUGGGACAACAUUUGGAAACGAAUGCUAAUACCUGAUAUUAUGAUUAUAAGGCAUCUUAGACUUAUGAAAGCUAGAUGCGCUGUGAGAGAGCUUUGCGUCCCAUUAGCUAGUUGGAGAGGUAACGGCUCACCAAGGCGAUGAUGGGUAGCCGGCCUGAGAGGGUGAACGGCCACAAGGGGACUGAGACACGGCCCGUACGCCUACGGGAGGCAGGAGUGGGGAAUAUUGGACAAUGGACCAAGAGUCUGAUCCAGCAAUUCUGUGUGCACGAUGACGUUUUUCGGAAUGUAAAGUGCUUUCAGUUGGGAAGAAAAAAAUGACGGUACCAACAGAAGAAGUGACGGCUAAAUACGUG
rnacentral:rRNA from 1 species